GGUGGAUGCCUUGGCAGUUAGAGGCGAUGAAGGACGUGUUAAUCUGCGAUAAGCGUUGGUAAGGUGAUAAAAACCGUCAUAGCCAACGAUUUCCGAAUGGGGAAACCCACUUAGCAUAAGCUAGGUAUCAUUAACUGAAUACAUAGGUUAAUGAGGCAAACCGGGAGAACUGAAACAUCUAAGUACCCCGAGGAAAAGAAAUCAACCGAGAUUUCGUUAGUAGCGGCGAGCGAACGCGAAUCAGCCCUUAAGCUUAUUGGGCGCUAGUGGAAUGUUCUGGAAAGGACAACGAUACAGGGUGAUAGUCCCGUACACUAAAGCAACCUUUAAGUGAAAUCGAGUAGGACGGAGCACGUGAAACUUUGUCUGAAUAUGGGGGGACCAUCCUCCAAGGCUAAAUACUACUGACUGACCGAUAGUGAACCAGUACCGUGAGGGAAAGGCGAAAAGAACCCCGGCGAGGGGAGUGAAACAGAACCUGAAACCGUGUACGUACAAGCAGUGGGAGCCUUCGUAAGAGGGUGACUGCGUACCUUUUGUAUAAUGGGUCAGCGACUUAUAUUCUGUAGCAAGGUUAACCGAUUAGGGGAGCCGUAGCGAAAGCGAGUGUUAACUGCGCGUUUAGUUGCUAGGUAUAGACCCGAAACCCGGUGAUCUAGCCAUGAGCAGGUUGAAGGUUGAGUAACAUCAACUGGAGGACCGAACCCACUAACUUUGAAAAGUUAGGGGAUGACCUGUGGCUGGGGGUGAAAGGCCAAUCAAACCGGGAGAUAGCUGGUUCUCCCCGAAAUCUAUUUAGGUAGAGCCUCGCACGAACACCAUUGGGGGUAGAGCACUGUUAAGGCUAGGGGGUCAUCCCGACUUACCAACCCUUUGCAAACUCCGAAUACCAAUGAGAACUAUCCGGGAGACACACGGCGGGUGCUAACGUCCGUCG
rnacentral:rRNA from 1 species